rnacentral:rRNA from 1 species
GCGGUGCCUUCCGAGUUCCCUGGAACGGGACGCCUUAGAGGGUGAGAGCCCCGUACGGUUGGACACCAAGCCUCUGUAAAGCUCCUUCGACGAGUCGAGUAGUUUGGGAAUGCUGCUCUAAAUGGGAGGUAAAUUUCUUCUAAAGCUAAAUAUUGGCCAGAGACCGAUAGCGCACAAGUAGAGUGAUCGAAAGAUGAAAAGCACUUUGAAAAGAGGGUUAAACAGCACGCUGUGAAAUUGUUGAAAGGGAAGCGUUUGCGACCAGACCUCUCCCCGGCGGAUCAUCCGGCGUUCUCGCCGGUGCACUCCGCCGGGCUGAGGCCAGCAUCGGUUUCCGCGGGGGGAGCUAAAAGCGGGGGGAACGUAGCUACCCUCGGGAGUGUUAUAGCCCCCCGCAUGAAUACC